rnacentral:lncRNA from 1 species
AGCUUAGAAACUGAGAGAAUAAAUGUAUAUUACCUUGAUAUGCAUGUUACAAUGUGUUUAUUGAAUAAUAAGCUUUCUAUUUAUAUUGUAGUGGAGUUUUACAGUGGAGUGUUACUCUAAGUAUAAUUCUAAGAAAGGGAAAAAUCUUCCUUUUUGCUAAUCAUUGUUCUGCUAUCGAUAUGGGUAGAAAUUCACAUCGUGAUAUCCUGUUGUGCAUGGAUAUCACGACCUUUUGUUAAUCAUGCGCGGACGUUUGGUAAUAUUUUCCGAGGUCUUGAAACUCGAACCACAUCUGGGGUGCGUGGUAUCGAUGGUUCUGAGGGAAUGUAUUUUAUUCGGGCCUUGAUAUGAAAGGCUCCCAGCUUCGAUUUCAAUUCCUGGUUGUUGUCCUUGCUUCGUGUGCCCUACCGGAAAAUCAAGGUGCUCAUUAGUCUCAGUUUUACCUGUAUAUAUGGUUAAGGUGCUAAACACAUCGAAUUUCUUGAGUAAUAAGUACAUAACGAGUUUAAUUUAUAUGAUAUAACAAUAAA